AGAGAUGUGUGAUGACGCAUAUCAAUAAGCGGAGGAAAAGAAACUAACAAGGAUUCCCUUAGUAACGGCGAGUGAAGCGGGAAGAGCUCAAAUUUGAAAUCUUCAAGGUUCUACCUUGACGAAUUGUAGUUUAUAGAAGUGUUUUCUGUUAGUGGAGUGGCAAAAGUUCUUUGGAAUAGGACAUCAUAGAGGGUGAGAAUCCCGUAUUUGGUCAUUCCUCCUAGCGUUGUGAUACACUUUCAACGAGUCGGAUUGUUUGGGAAUGCAGUCCAAAAUGGGUGGUAAAUUUCAUCUAAAGCUAAAUAUUGGCGAGAGACCGAUAGCGAACAAGUACCGUGAGGGAAAGAUGAAAAGAACUUUGAAAAGAGAGUUAAACAGUACGUGAAAUCGUCAAAAGGGAAGCGUUUGACACCAGUGUUGUUUUUCCGAAAAUCAAUUACGAAUGUUUUAUUUUUGAGGAGUUAUGACUUCAUCGGCUUGCUCCUUUCUUUAUGAAACUUUCUUAAUGCACUUUUCGGUUAACAAGUCAACAUCAAUUUCUUUUGUUGUAAAAGGGUAUGAGGAAGGUGGCUUUCUUUUCGGAGAAAGUGUUUAUAGCCUUGUGCCUCUGCAAUCGGAGAGAUUGAGGUCUGCAGCGUAGAUCCUUCGGGGUUAGAUACGUUUGUGCUAAGUUAUAGCUUUUCAUAGGCAACUUGUUGACUAUGUUUAGUCUUGUAACUUACUCGCUGACGCUAUUUUACCUACGCUUAGGAUGUUGAGUAGCGACAUACGCAC
rnacentral:rRNA from 1 species